rnacentral:rRNA from 1 species
CCUACGGGGGACAGCAGUGAGGAAUAUUGGUCAAUGGACGAGAGUCUGAACCAGCCAAGUAGCGUGAAGGAUGACUGCCCUAUGGGUUGUAAACUUCUUUUAUAAAGGAAUAAAACGAGGCACGUGUGCCUUUUUGCAUGUACUUUAUGAAUAAGGAUCGGCUAACUCCGUGCCAGCAGCCGCGGUAAUACGGAGGAUCCGAGCGUUAUCCGGAUUUAUUGGGUUUAAAGGGAGCGUAGAUGGGUUGUUAAGUCAGUUGUGAAAGUUUGCGGCUCAACCGUAAAAUUGCAAUUGAUACUGGCAGUCGUGAGUACAGUUGAGGUAGGCGGAAUUCGUGGUGUAGCGGUGAAAUGCUUAGAUAUCACGAAGAACCCCGAUUGCGAAGGCAGCUUACUAAACUGUGACUGACAUUGAUGCUCGAAAGUGUGGGUAUCAAACAGGAUUAGAUACCCUGGUAGUC